AGCAGCCGCGGUAAUUCCAGCUCCAAUAGCGUAUAUUAAAGUUGUUGCAGUUAAGAAGCUCGUAGUUGAAUUUCGGGAUUGACGUGAUGGUCGUGCCUUACGGGGUAUGAACUGUUGCUGUUGAUUUCUCACCUUCUGGAGAAACUUGAUGCCCUUAAUUGGGUGUCUUGCGGAUCCAGGACCUUUACCUUGAAAAAUUGAGUGUUUAAAGCAGGCAUUUUUGCUCGAAUACAUUAGCAUGGAAUAAUAGAAUAGGACGGCAUGGUUCUAUUUUGUUGGUUUCUAGGAUCACCGUAAUGAUUAAUAGGGAUAGUUGGGGGCAUUAGUAUUCAAUUGUCAGAGGUGAAAUUCUUGGAUUUAUUGAAGACUAACUACUGCGAAAGCAUUUGCCAAGGAUGUUUUCAUUAAUCAAGAACGAAAGUUAGGGAUCGAAGACGAUCAGAUACCGCCGUAGUCUUAACCAUAAACUAUGCCGACUAGGAAUCAGACGAUGUUAAUUUUUUAAUGUACUUCG
rnacentral:misc_RNA from 1 species